rnacentral:rRNA from 1 species
UACGGAGGGUGCAAGCGUUGUCCGGAAUCAUUGGGUUUAAAGGGUCCGCAGGCGGUCUUAUAAGUCAGUGGUGAAAGCCUACAGCUCAACUGUAGAACUGCCAUUGAUACUGUAAGACUUGAAUUCGAUCGAAGUGGGCGGAAUAUGACAUGUAGCGGUGAAAUGCUUAGAUAUGUCAUAGAACACCGAUAGCGAAGGCAGCUCACUAGGUCUGGAUUGACGCUCAGGGACGAAAGCGUGGGGAGCAAACAGG